rnacentral:misc_RNA from 1 species
GAUGAAGAACGUAGCGAAAUGCGAUAAGUAAUGUGAAUUGCAGAAUUCAGUGAAUCAUCGAAUCUUUGAACGCACCUUGCGCUCCUUGGUAUUCCAAAGAGCAUGCCUGUUUGAGUAUCAUUAAAUUAUCAACUGUACCAAUUUGGUUGCAGAUUGGAUGUGGGAGAUUUUGCAGGCUUUUGAUUUCUCUUUGAGAAAACGGUCAGCUCUCCUGAAAUAUAUUAGCAGUGCCUUUGUUGGUUCAUUAGGUGUGAUAAUUUAUCUACAUCUUCACAUGGUAACUUCAUUUGUGUAAAGGUCAUAUUGCUUCUAAUUGUCUUUGGACAUAAAAAAAAAAAACAUAUAAUUGUAUGGAAAACUUGAUCUCAAAUCAGGCAGGACUACCCGCUGAACUUAAGCAUAUCAAUAAGCGGAGGA